CUCCGUUUCUCUCGUCUACAAAAAUACAUCUACAUCUAACUACAGAACCCAAAGACAAAAAAAAGGCAAGCACCACGUGCCUUACUGUCAAGUAACGUGCUUAUCUACCUCUACCUCCAAUCCACAUCUUCUACCACUUCUAGGCGACGACCCUCGUUACCUACGUCACAAGACUCUCCUCUGAUCUCAGGUUCCGAACACUUUUAGAGCAUUCAACAAAGUAAUUCACGUAGCAAACAUGAUCAAACGGUGCAGCCACAGAAGAGAAAGAAGAAGCAGAGCAUGGACACCAGAGCCACGGACUCAAACGCUGUGAUCAAGCUCCAAACAACGUCAUCCAGGAUCGAGAAAUCCAGCUCCGGCCACCUCAAGAACAUCUGCGCGUCCCAAUUCAGCAUAGGAGCCCACCUCAGCAAUAAAUCCGAGAACGAAAUGAACUGCGGCCACCGGAACAUCGAAGACCAGAGGGAAGAGUAAGUGAAGUCCAAUCCCAACCAUCUGAACACUGACGUAGACCACCUCCCCGCCAUUCUCGCUUUCUCUCGACCUUUUUUUGAAUAUCUCCGUUUGUCUCGGUGAUUCUAGCAUGUGGUAGUAAAAAAAGGGUUUAUAUAAGGCAGGGUGAUGAUUGUGAGAGUGAUGAUAAAGUGCACUCGUGUGUAUUUAAGAUUGGACGCAGUAGGGCCCAACAUUAAAGGUUGUAAAUAUUUGUAGCUCAAAUAAGACAUGGGUGUAUGAUUAAUAGGUCAGAUAGCAAUCGUCAUAUGUAAGAGAUUAGAUAUCUGAGCCGUUGGAAGAUGGGUGCAAAACUUGAACGGAUGUGAUUGAAAUUAUAGAGCAUGAGGCGUAUGAGUGAUUUGUACAGAAGGCUGGAGAGAAAAAAACACAAAGAAAAUUUUGAAUUUUCGGGUUAAAGGUUGGAGGGAAAUUUUUGAUGUCUUAAGAAAAUUACAAAAAUUGAAUAUUUUGGGGUUUUUUGAUGG
rnacentral:misc_RNA from 1 species